rnacentral:lncRNA from 1 species
UUUUUUUUUUUUAAAAGUUUAGUACUAGCGGAAGAAUUUGGCAUUUGGCAGAGAUGUAAUUUGGAAUAGAGAAGAGAAAUUUCAAGUCGAAACUAAGUUUGUCUUAAAACUCUAGAAGGGUGAUGAUUGAGGCAAAUUGAAGUUGGUCUCUCAUGGUUGUAAAUUAAGUAAGUUUGGAUCCCUUGUCCACAAAUUGAGACAUUGGGUUGUUGCUAUUGUGCAACAUUAGCUAUGAAGCCGCUGAUAAGAGUCUUAUUUCAACUUUUAUGGAAAGGUGACACCACGACACCAACACUUUCAAAUUUCCCUAUGGGUGAGAUGAUCAUUAUGAUAAAUGAUAUGUUUGUAUUGUUGCAUCUCCCAAUAGUGGGAUAUUUUUGUUCGUAUGUUACGUUAGAUUUCACAUCAGACGAUUUUUUAGCCAAUUUUGGUAUUAUCGAUCAUCUUAUUAUCAAUGUGACACUGACUUCACAUCCAUCAACAUGUGUAGUUAGAUACAUGUUAUCACACCCAUACAUAUUUCUUGAUACGAAUGAAGAUCGACCAAUCAAUAUGGUAUCAGAGCGGGUUAAAGUCCCGCUCUGCUUCCGCUCUUUCUUUUGUUCUGAUUUCUGGGUUUUUUCUUUAAUUUCUUUUUGUGUGAUUCGUGAUGGAAACUAAUUCUGGUAGUAGCAAAGAUUCCACUCUGAAUUCAAGCAGUAACCAAGAUCCCACACAAAACCCAAGCAGCCCUUAUUAUCUACAUCUUGGAGAAAAUCCAGGAACGGUUUUAAUCAAUCUUUAGCUUGACGGCAACAAUUAUCAUCCGAAGUUGAAUACCGUGCACUCGCUACUCUAACUUGUAAGAUUCAAUGACUAAAAUAUCUCAUCGAUGAAUUCAAAAUAAAAAUUCAGACCCCAAUUGUUGUCUACUAUGAUAGUCAAUCAACAAGAUAUAUAGCUCACAAUCCAAGCUUCCAUGAAAGAACAAAGCGUAUAGAAAUAGAUUUUCAUGUUGUACGUGAAAAGUACAAUCCAAACUCUUCCAGUUGUUGCCAAUCUCCUCAAAUCAUCAAACUACUGAUGUUCUCACUAAACCACUUGAACAUGGUGGUUUUAUUUCUGCAAUUUCCAAGUUUGGGUUGAUAAACAUCUACCACUAAGCUUGAGGAGGAUAUUAAGUUGUUAUUUUGUUAUUUAUUUUUGUUACUCUGUUUCUGUUUAACAGAGUCUUAUAUAUAUUGUAUUUUUUUUCCAGAUAUAAUAGAAUAAUACAUUUUCUUUUUCUUCUUCAUUCUCUUCUCUUACUUUUCCACCGUUUCCUUCCACCACACUAUGCGUGUCAUGGCAUAGCACUGCCCUCUGUCACAGAAGGCUAAGCACACCCAAAAGGGUUGCAGCACUCUGGUGUGAGUUAUAAGAAAAACCAGAAUCCAAUACAUGAAGACUAGAAUCCAAUAGAUGGUGGAAACUUAAUAGAAAAGACCAAAUUGAACAUUCUUAAAAAACAUUUGGACCAAAUUGAUUUUUUUUAAAAAUCUUUAAUAUUGACUUUAAAUAUAAGGACAAAAAGGUAAUUAUAACAAAAAUAUAUUAUACAACAAUUUUUAAUCGUUAAUAUAUAAUAUAUUUUCAUGGUUUAUGUCAAAUGUGUUUAGUUUAUGUAAAUAUCGUUAUCACUAAAAAAUACUUUUGUAUUAAAAAGUUUAAUAUUGAAACAUAUAUUUUUUGUAUAAAAAAAAUUAUAUAUUAAACAACUUACAAAAAUAUAAAAUAAAAAUUAAAAAAUUUAUAAUUUGUACAAUUCAAAAUAUAUAUUUUUAUUUUGUAUUAUACAUUUCAAAAUACAUUUUUGUAUAAUGUAUUUUAGAUUGUAGAAUGUAAAAUAUAAAUUUCAAAAGGUAAAACUAAAAAUUAAAUUAAUAUAGAGGUGCAAUUUCAAAUGCGGAAGGCAAUGGAUCACUUGAUGAACACUCCUACCAAUAAAUAGCUCAGUAAUUAGUUUUCAAAAUUAUACUUCAUUUAAAAGAAAUUAUAUGUGAAUUAGAUUUUAACAUAAUCUUUAAUUGUUGAUAUUUUAGUCAAUUAUAACAUUUGAUUUUUAAUUAUUUAAGAAAAGAGAACUUACAACAUUUAAUGAGACUCCUCAGCUUGCAAUGAAACUAAUUAUUUUCAUUUCCUCUUGAGGCAGUGGAAUUUUUUAUCUAGCUCAGUGAUGCUUCUGAGAUCCUGCUUUUGUUCUUACAUUAACCUGAAUCAUUUGGAAAGAUUGUGUUAACAGGAGCUUUCUACCACAAAUAAACUGUUUCAACAAACAGAAUCUGUCACAUCCUUAGUCUAAACGAGGAAGCUUGCAAGAUUAAAAAAAUUAAAUUGGAAAAGUAAAAGUAACUUUUACUUAUGAACUUUAUUAUUAGACAAGACAGGUCUCCAUGUAAAAUCUGGGAAAAAUCCAAAUUACGUGUCUUUUAAAAAAUAAAAGUCACACUUUUUAAAAGCUAAAUACAAGUGUCGGAGUUAAACCGUUAAACUGAAUUAUAAGAUAUGAUUUCAAAAUAUACUUUAAAAUAAGAUAUUCUUUAAUAAUAAUUUCAAUAAUUAAGAUAGGUCAAACAAUAAUUGAUUUUUAUUAUGACAACAAUAAGAAAAUUAUUGAACGAAGGGAAAGAAAAACAUGAAUAUGCUGAGAAGAAAACAAAUUGGAGACAACUCCAUAAAACGAAACAAAACCAGAAAAAUUCAGGGUGUUUCUUCCUGUACCUCUACAAAUGUCUUCCUGCACUCCAUCAUUUUCAGAAAAGACUGUUUUACCCCUUAUAAAAAUGGUUUCUGAAUUGCUCUUUCUGAAAUAUUUCUGGAAGAUAUUUUAUAAACUCUUGAUUUAUCAAUCUGGAAAUAAAAAAUAUGAUAUGGAAAGAAUAUUCUAGAACGAUUUUUUGUUUUUUGGAUUUCCUAUUCCAGAAACUCCCUUUGCUUACGAAAUCUUUAUUCAAGAAUCAUCCAAAACUGUGAAAGGUAAUUUUAAUAUUGUGAAGAAUGUAGGGGUGCAGGAAGAAAAAUGUAAACGUGCAGGAAGAAACACCCAAAAAUUUAUGGCAAAUGCUCCCUGCACCCAACACUUUUGAACCUGCACCCAACAUAAUUUCAAAAAUUCUAAAACUACCCUUUAUUCUGGAAAUAAAAAUCCGGAAUUGAAAAUAAUGCAUUCCAGAAAAAUAAAUCUGAAAGAAAUUUUUGUAUUCUGGAUAUAAAAAUCCAGAAAAAAAAAUCAAAAUCUCAUUCCGGAUAAAAAAAUUCGGAACUGAAAAUAAUACAUUCCAGAAAAAAUUAUCCGGAAGAGAUUAUUGUGUUCCGGAAAAAAGAAUCCAGAAUGUAAUUUUAUAUGUACCCCAUUUUUUGAAGGGUAUUUUCGGUUUUUCUCCUAUGAUUGGAUGCAGUUAUAUAGUGCAGGAAGCAAUUGCCAAAAUUUAUUACUGUUUCAAACAAGGCCCAAAGACCAGUUUGUAAAGACAAAAAAUAAAAAUUUAUUACUGUUUCAAACAAGGCCCAAAAUUUAUUACUGUUUCAAACAAGGCCCAACAGGGGUACAAAUAAAAAACUUAAUAUCCUCCCUCAAAUCAAGGAAUAUUCAAACAUAUGCUUCACAUCUUCUCAUUGGAUUAGGAAUAGGCUUUACUCAACCAUACCUACGUCUGCAAGAAUGUCUAAGAAAAUUCUUUUUGACACAUAAAUACCUCUAUCUGAACCAACAAUCUCAAGAUCUAAGAAAUACUUAAAAUUACCAAGAAUUUUUUAUCUAGAAAACAUUAUGUAAAAAUAUUUUAACAUUAUUAAUAUCAUAUAUGCAAUCUCCAACUAAAAUAAUGUCAUAUUUGUUUUCCUUGUAACCAUCUACAUAUAAUUCAUUAUCAAUUUUACUCUUAUUAAUAUAUUUUAUUUUAUUAUUUUACUCUUUAAAUUUUUAUAAUUAUUUUUUAUGAACAUAGUUCUUUUAAAAUCUAAUAAUAAUUUAUUUUAUUAUCAUAAGAAAAAAAGUGGAUACAUAUGCAACGGUAGAUGCAUACGUAUUUCCACUAGUAUUAUAAUAAAAUGAAAACAUUAAAUAAUUAAUAAAAUAAAUAAAUUUAAUAUUUUCUGAAUAUCUGUUUUGUAUUAUAAAAAUAAAUAACUAAAAUAAUAAAUAAAAUAAAAGAAUUUAAAUUUUGAUAAUUUUCUUAAUAUAUUUUUAUUUUUAUUUUUAUUUAAAAUUUAUUUUAUUUUAAUUUACAUUUUCAGAAAUUAAUUUUUGCAUUAAAUUAUUUUUUAAAAAUUGUAAAUUAUUUUCUUCAUAUAUUAAUAUACAAUUAAAAUUAUUCUAUCACACAAAUUAAAAUUACAACAAAUUUUUCACUUAUUUUCUCUCACUUUUUCACCAGCUUCUUCAAUUCAAAUAACAGUUUUUUUCACUUUAAUGUAUUCUAUCACUUUUUUUCCUUUUCACUCAAACAAAACAAAACAUAACCGACUAUAUAAUACUAACUUUCAUGAAGCCCACACAAUACAAUGGACCAUAUAAAACAGAUAUCAGGAACAUCAACACAAACCUAUUCUGAAAUGUUUCCAUCCUGUAUCCAACCUAUCUAAAACAGCGUCUAGAAACUGCCGAAUUUAACAGAAUGUUAGGAAUCAAGAAUUGAAAAGAGAAAGAAAAGAAAUAUUUUUAUUGAAUAGAAUAAAAUGAACAAGAAAUAGGACAGCACUCUCUCCUCCAAGACCAAGAGUUUCCCCUUCACACAGAAUUUGUCCUUUCACAAAGAGCUAAUGCUCAAUCUACAAAUACAAAAUGAACACCUUCCCCUCUAUAUCUAGUAUCCUCCUAUUUAUAGAUAUGAUUGGCACGAUCCAUGAUAUCCCUCUAAUAACUCCCUGUAUUCUGUAUACAGCCUAAUAUAAAAGCAAGAACAUACGAAUAUUUAUAGUGAGAAUACUACGUAUCCAUUCAGUAAAUAGCACUACUCUUCAAGCUCAUUCUUACUCAAUGUAAGACCAAACUCACUUGAAAUCCUAACAUAUGGCAAACCAUUAAGAGAGACUUUCCUUUUUUACUAAAUGUUUUCUUGGAUUUUCCUCUUUUAAUAAAUUAUUUUUCAUUUGAUCUACUCUUCAUCUUAGUUCUAACGGGAGCCUGGAGGCUCUAACUCUCUUCAAUAUAGCCUAAUAUUGUCUUCCCUACCUCUUGGACAAAAAUUGGAAAUCACAAAUAUCUGACACGAUUUUGAACUGGUUAAUUUUCCUAUAGCUAGAAAAAAUGAGGGCUCACAAAACAGAAUUGUAACACCUGGUAGUUUUCCAACCACAUUUGAAUGACUUAUCUGAAAGCUUUGAUUAACUAAUUAUAUCACAAUGUAUUUGUUGUAGCCAAUACUUACCUAUUGCCAGUUCAUAGGUGGAACCCCAGCAUUGUGUUAUGGUGUCUUUAUAGAACUACAGUAGAAGAAUAAAAUAAAAAGAACAUCGUACUUAUCCAUGAUCAGGCCAUUUCCCACCAGAACCACAUAUAAUAAAUAUAGAAGCCAUCCAAAUGACAAAUUCAUCCAUCCUUUCAUAUAACAACACUCCAAGGAAAGAGAAAAGGAUUACGGAAAGACAAGAGGACUAAUCAUCUAUUUAAAGGAGCAGAACCCAAUACAAGACUAGUGGUGUACAUAAUAUAGCUCAGGGAAUCAACUUGUCAUUGCUGUUGCGUAUAGCAAACCUUAAAAUUUCUGCAUAAAAUAUAGACCAACAUGUCACCCUAGACUAAUGUUGGGACCUACCAACAUAGAAGCUGAAGAAGCAAUUGCAACAUAUCAUAUCAACAAGAGGUAGAAUACAACAGAAAACUAAAAAACAUGUACAGAUACUGAAGAUGAGAGAUCCUAGUCUAACAACAGGGAGUUAAUUAAAGCUCAUCACAAUCAUCCAAAAUAAGGAUAAUUCUCUAACUCAAUGCUGCAAAGGGGAAGCUUGAAAUGCAAUUAGCAAACCCAAACAAUAUACAAUGGCUAAGCACUCUAAAUUAGAUUUUGUUUCUCUCAAAAAUCCUUAUGAACAAGACCACAUAUAUGCUACCUAAUUCUCUACUUCUAAUAUUUACAGACCAACUUGAUUCUAUAGCAGCACAAAGGUAUUCAGUAGAUAAAACUUCUUCAUAAAUACUUAUAAGGAAAUUAAGAAGGAAAAAUAAACUGAAUUUUUCCUGUAAACUAACUUAUGCACUUAAAUUUAUAGAAGCUCUCAAGUUUAUUUUAGCUCUUAAGAGAAGCUCAAUUUAUUUCAUCUCUUUAUAUUUUAUUUUUUCUCAUACAAAUGCAUGCUUAUGGAGAAAGCAAUGUUCCAACUCAGAGCAUAACUUACAUACUUCAGAAACUUAUUAAACAUUCACAUAUCAAAAUUCUAAGAAGGGCGAGUGAUCACAAAACGGCUACUGAGAAGUUACUAAGAAGAGCGGCAAAGUAACGAAAACAAAACCUAAGGUGGUGUAACCGGCAGCGAGGGAGGCUCCCGCAAGAGCGGCGGCGACGGCGUUGAUGGUUAUUGAAUGUUGAUGCGAACUGGAAGGGUUUUGCAGAGCCCAACCCCC